UGGGGAAUUUUGGACAAUGGGCGAAAGCCUGAUCCAGCAAUGCCGCGUGUGUGAAGAAGGCCUUCGGGUUGUAAAGCACUUUUGUCCGGAAAGAAAUCCUUGGCUCUAAUACAGUCGGGGGAUGACGGUACCGGAAGAAUAAGCACCGGCUAACUACGUGCCAGCAGCCGCGGUAAUACGUAGGGUGCAAGCGUUAAUCGGAAUUACUGGGCGUAAAGCGUGCGCAGGCGGUUUGCUAAGACCGACGUGAAAUCCCCGGGCUCAGCCUGGGAACUGCAUUGGUGACUGGCAGGCUAGAGUAUGGCAGAGGGGGGUAGAAUUCCACGUGUAGCAGUGAAAUGCGUAGAGAUGUGGAGGAAUACCGAUGGCGAAGGCAGCCCCCUGGGCCAAUACUGGCGCUCAUGCACGAAAGCGUGGGGAGCAAACAGGAUUAGAUACCCUGGUAGUCCACGCCCUAAACGAUGUCAACUAGUUGUUGGGGAUUCAUUUCCUUAGUAACGUAGCUAACGCGUGAAGUUGACCGCCUGGGGAGUACGGUCGCAAGAUUAAAACUCAAAUGAAUUGACGGGGUCAUAGCUG
rnacentral:rRNA from 1 species